rnacentral:misc_RNA from 1 species
UCGAUACCUGCCCGGCAGAACGACCCGCGAACCAGUUCGUAAACCGUCGGAUUCCGCGGGCUCGUCCCCGYGGUCUCCGCAUCCCGACGGCGGCCGCGCGCGUCCCACCGCGCCCGGCCGCCGACGGCGAAACAGACCAACCCCGGCGCGGAACGCGCCAAGGAACAUUYRAAGAGGAGGAGGAGGAUCCCGGACGACCGUGCGGCUAUCCUCCUCCCUGCAACAACAACGACUCUCGGCAACGGAUAUCUAGGCUCUUGCAUCGAUGAAGAACGUAGCGAAAUGCGAUACUUGGUGUGAAUUGCAGAAUCCCGUGAACCAUCGAGUCUUUGAACGCAAGUUGCGCCCGAAGCCUUCUGGCCGAGGGCACGUCUGCCUGGGCGUCACACAUCGUCGUCCCAAACCCCAUUCCCCUCGGGGCAUCGGGCGCGGGCGGACAAUGGCCUCCCGUGCGCUCCCGCUCGCGGCUGGCCCAAAGCGGAGUCCCCGACGGAGGCGGACCACGACCRGCGGUGGUUGAAAGACCCUCGGCGAGAGUCGUGCGUGCCCCCCCUCGGGACCAACCGACCCCGGAGGUGCUCCGGCCGAUCCCGAGCACUCGCGAA